rnacentral:rRNA from 1 species
AUGCCAGGAUCACAAGCCGACGAGAUUGACUGGGAGAACUUAUCGAACAAGGAGCUUCAUGAUAAGUUUCAGCAAAUGAUGACUGAACAGGUGCAAGAUGUGCUGAACAAUUUUGAAGAGGCCAUGGAGAAGAUUACUGGCCUUAAGAAGACGUUCGAAACAAAGCUCGAUAACAGAUUUAAUGAACUGCUUGCGCGUCUUCCACCACCGGCUGCACCUGUCGCACCUCUGCAACAACAACAACUACGCCCCCUUCCGAAUCAGUAUGGACGAGCACAGCGUGUUCCUAUUGAGCCAGGACAAAAUUCUGGUGCCGCUGCUACUGCUGUUGGUGCUUCUUUGGCUCCUGCUACUGCCGCUGCUGGUACCCAGGAGGAUGAUGAUUAUGUGGGAGAUUAUGAGGAUGAGGUUUGA